UUAAAUUGAAGAGUUUGAUCAUGGCUCAGAUUGAACGCUGGCGGCAGGCCUAACACAUGCAAGUCGAACGGUAACAGGAAGCAGCUUGCUGCUUUGCUGACGAGUGGCGGACGGGUGAGUAAUGUCUGGGAAACUGCCUGAUGGAGGGGGAUAACUACUGGAAACGGUGGCUAAUACCGCAUAACGUCGCAAGACCAAAGAGGGGGACCUUCGGGCCUCUUGCCAUCAGAUGUGCCCAGAUGGGAUUAGCUUGUUGGUGAGGUAACGGCUCACCAAGGCGACGAUCCCUAGCUGGUCUGAGAGGAUGACCAGCCACACUGGAACUGAGACACGGUCCAGACUCCUACGGGAGGCAGCAGUGGGGAAUAUUGCACAAUGGGCGCAAGCCUGAUGCAGCCAUGCCGCGUGUAUGAAGAAGGCCUUCGGGUUGUAAAGUACUUUCAGCGGGGAGGAAGGUGUUGUGGUUAAUAACCACAGCAAUUGACGUUACCCGCAGAAGAAGCACCGGCUAACUCCGUGCCAGCAGCCGCGGUAAUACGGAGGGUGCAAGCGUUAAUCGGAAUUACUGGGCGUAAAGCGCACGCAGGCGGUCUGUCAAGUCGGAUGUGAAAUCCCCGGGCUCAACCUGGGAACUGCAUUCGAAACUGGCAGGCUUGAGUCUUGUAGAGGGGGGUAGAAUUCCAGGUGUAGCGGUGAAAUGCGUAGAGAUCUGGAGGAAUACCGGUGGCGAAGGCGGCCCCCUGGACAAAGACUGACGCUCAGGUGCGAAAGCGUGGGGAGCAAACAGGAUUAGAUACCCUGGUAGUCCACGCCGUAAACGAUGUCUACUUGGAGGUUGUGCCCUUGAGGCGUGGCUUCCGGAGCUAACGCGUUAAGUAGACCGCCUGGGGAGUACGGCCGCAAGGUUAAAACUCAAAUGAAUUGACGGGGGCCCGCACAAGCGGUGGAGCAUGUGGUUUAAUUCGAUGCAACGCGAAGAACCUUACCUGGUCUUGACAUCCACAGAACUUUCCAGAGAUGGACUGGUGCCUUCGGGAACUGUGAGACAGGUGCUGCAUGGCUGUCGUCAGCUCGUGUUGUGAAAUGUUGGGUUAAGUCCCGCAACGAGCGCAACCCUUAUCCUUUGUUGCCAGCGGUUAGGCCGGGAACUCAAAGGAGACUGCCAGUGAUAAACUGGAGGAAGGUGGGGAUGACGUCAAGUCAUCAUGGCCCUUACGACCAGGGCUACACACGUGCUACAAUGGCGCAUACAAAGAGAAGCGACCUCGCGAGAGCAAGCGGACCUCAUAAAGUGCGUCGUAGUCCGGAUUGGAGUCUGCAACUCGACUCCAUGAAGUCGGAAUCGCUAGUAAUCGUGGAUCAGAAUGCCACGGUGAAUACGUUCCCGGGCCUUGUACACACCGCCCGUCACACCAUGGGAGUGGGUUGCAAAAGAAGUAGGUAGCUUAACCUUCGGGAGGGCGCUUACCACUUUGUGAUUCAUGACUGGGGUGAAGUCGUAACAAGGUAACCGUAGGGGAACCUGCGGUUGGAUCACCUCCUUACCUUAAAGAA
rnacentral:rRNA from 2 species